UCCAGCGCCCCAACGGAAGGGAUGUUAAAUUUGUUGUGGCCAAUGCUCGAACCCGGAUGGCGGGCAGUACAUCUGUACCUCCUUUACCACGAAACUACGAGCGUUUGGUUUUUCCAAACUAUUCUUCCACCUAGUUAUUCUGUUUCUAGUGAAUAUGUUAGUGUAUAUGUCUCUACAGUGAAGACCUUAAUGUAAAUAUUGAACUUUUACUGCAAGGUAGAGUGAACAAAUUGGAGCCCAUCUUCCUGGCUCAAAAAUAUUUUCUCCCCAUCUCUCUAAAUAUCUAAAUCCAGUUUCAGCUUCUUAUGCCGGUUUUUGUAGCACUGGAACUAUGCUCUUUUGUUACGUCUAUUCUAUUUCGUCACCGACAUUAUAUUUUGUCUGGUUUUGUAAGACUAAGCAAUGACUUCGUUGGUUUAGAUCGUGUAUUUGAAACAGCGCUCUGGCUCUCCUCUGCUUUGACUAUCGAUAAUACUUUAUUUAGAAUUUCUUUUUGUAGUUGUUCGAACUUGAUGCAUGUUGCUUGU
rnacentral:lncRNA from 1 species